rnacentral:tRNA from 1 species
GCUGGAGCUCAGUGGCAGAGUGCUUGCCUAGCAUGUGGGAGGCACUGGGUUCAAGUCUCAGCAUCA